rfam:Pteropus alecto contig20147, whole genome shotgun sequence.
GUUCUCACUUUGGCAGCACAUAUAUUAAAAUUGGAAUGAUAUAGAGAUUAACAUGGCCCCUGCGCAAGAAUGACACACAAAUUCGUGAAGUAUUCCAUAUUUUA